UCGCCUGUUUUUACAAAAACAUGGCCUUUUGAUUAUAAUUUAAGGUCUAGUCUGCCCACUGAUUAGUUUUAAAGGGCCGCGGUAUUUUGACCGUGCUAAGGUAGCAUAAUCAUUAGUUUUUUGAUUGAAAGCUGGUAUGAAUGGCUGGAUGAGAAAUAUACUGUCUCUGUUUAAUUUUAAAUUAAUUUUAUUUUUAAGUAAAAAAGCUUAAAUUUAUUUAAAAGACGAGAAGACCCUAUAGAGUUUUAUAAAUGAAAAAUUUUUAAGAUUUAGAAAUAUCAAUUAGAAAUUUUGAAUUUAUUUGAUUGGGGUGAUUGAAAAAUUUAAGAAACUUUUUUUAUAUUUGAACAUUUAUAUAUGAAAAAUUGAUCCAUAAUUAAUGAUUAUAAGAUUAAAUUACCUUAGGGAUAACAGCGUAAUUUCUUUUAAGAGUUCUAAUCGAUAAAGAAGAUUGCGACCUCGAUGUUGGAUUAAAAUAGAAUAUUUGGUGUAGAAGCUAAAUUAUUUGGUCUGUUCGACCAUUAAAAUUUUACAUGAUCUGAUUUC
rnacentral:rRNA from 1 species